GUCUACGGCCAUGCUACUCUGAACAAGUCCGGUCCCAUCUGAUCUUGGAAGCUAAGCGGGGUUGGGCCUGGUUAGUACUUGGAUGGGAGACCACCUAGGAAGACCAGGUGCUAUAGGCA
rnacentral:rRNA from 1 species